AACUCGCCUGCAUGAAGUCGGAAUUGCUAGUAAUCGCGGAUCAGCAUGCCGCGGUGAAUACGUUCCCGGCCUUGUACACACCGCCCGUCACACCAUGGGAGUCGGUAACACCCGAAGUCUGUAGCCCAACCGCAAGGAGGACGCUGUCGAAGGUGGGAUUGAUAACUGGGGUGAAGUCGUAACAAGGUACC
rnacentral:rRNA from 1 species